rnacentral:rRNA from 1 species
GACGAACCGUGCGAACGUUGUUCGGAAUCACUGGGCUUAAAGGGCGCGUAGGCGGCUUGCCAAGUCAGUGGUGAAAUCCCGCAGCUUAACUGCGGAAGUGCCUUUGAUACUGGCGAGCUGGAGGGAGGUAGGGGUAUGUGGAACUUCUGGUGGAGCGGUGAAAUGCGUUGAUAUCAGAAGGAACGCCGGUGGCGAAAGCGACGUACUGGACCUCUUCUGACGCUGAGGCGCGAAAGCUAGGGGAGCAAACGGG